UACGAAGGGGGCUAGCGUUGCUCGGAAUCACUGGGCGUAAAGGGCGCGUAGGCGGCUGAUUUAGUCGAGGGUGAAAGCCCGUGGCUCAACCACGGAAUGGCCUUCGAUACUGGUUGGCUUGAGACCGGAAGAGGACAGCGGAACUGCGAGUGUAGAGGUGAAACUCGUAGAUAUUCGCAAGAACACCAGUGGCGAAGGCGGCUGUCUGGUCCGGUUCUGACGCUGAGGCGCGAAAGCGUGGGGAGCAAACAGG
rnacentral:rRNA from 1 species